CAGACCUAAAUUUGCUGUCCUGUUUUCCAUCAUUUUACUUUACAAACAUUUUUCUAGUUUUCUAGAAACCCUUUUAGAUGUCAUAUUAUCAAUUUUUGUCUUCCAAACUGAAAUUCACUGAACAUCUUCCUGGGUCCCUACACCUGCUUUAUUGCCCAUAUGCCAUAUGCCGGCUUUGGUCUACUUAACAUCUCAGUCUUCUAGCACAGAGCUUAAACAAGAGAAAAGCUGUUACUGUGUGUGUCUGACACAGUAGAGAUUUAUGAUUGUUGUAUGAAUUCAUAUAACCCUUAGGAAAUCCCGUCAAUUAUUUUAUUUCAUAUCUCUCAUGAAGAAAAGUCCCAUCCCACUCUCCUUCAUCAUUCUCUCCACGAACACCCUCUUCUAUUUAACUUUGUAACAGUAAUUUAUCUGCCUUGCUUCACCACCUUGUCCAUCACUUUUCUCUUCCUGAUCUGCAAACCGUGUCUCCCACUCCAGUGCCUUAACUCUUGGUACCUUGCCAAGCGUCGGACUGCUGAAGUGGUGACAUGAGCUUUUCUGAGUGGCUAUGAUGUUUAUCCAGGAGUUCUAGAAUCUGUCCCAAGAUGUUGUACUUCAGUUAGGGCUGGCUACCUGACAUCUCAUGUUAUGUUGCAAUGCAUCAUGUAGAAAAUUGGAAAGAGGUCUUGGACCUCUUGGGUGGUGAGGGUGUGACUGAGCGACAGUGCUGUGGCAGCAGUAACAUCAUUAUUGCCAAAACAGGCAGAAAGGAGUGGGUGGCUGAUAUGAGUGGCACUGAGCCCUGUCAUUGGGACUAUUGGAGGCCACUGCACUGUUCACCACCAUAUCAUACAAUGUUCAUGGCAAAUCUAAAUGAGGAAGUGCUUCAAAUACCAGUGAUUUCUCUGUGUGAAGACUUCCAGUAUUGUAACAACCCUACAAUGGUAGGGACCAUUAGAAAGCUGUUCUUUAUUCAUUGCGGUCACAGAAAUGAUUUUAUUUCCUGAUGGGAUGCAUUGUACUGCAAAAUAGAACG
rnacentral:lncRNA from 1 species